ensembl:snRNA U2 U2 spliceosomal RNA
AAAACAUGGAAUCAUCAUCUGUUCUAUCAAUUUAAUCUUGAUACUUCCCCCAUCGGGGGACUAUAUAUUAAAUGGAUUUUUUGAAAAGGGAGUCGGAAAUGGGGCUUGCUCCGCUGCUCCACGCACCGAUCCGGUAUUGCAGUACCCCCGUUUAUCAUCCAUUUUAC